GCAGAAUAAAAUCUGGAAUAAGACUCAAUGCAUAAAGGGCCUAAGCAGAGUAGUCCCUGUUUAGUACUUGGAUGGGAGACCACCUGGAAAUUCCAGGCUCUGUG
rnacentral:rRNA from 1 species